GCUUGGAUGUCUAGGCUCGCACAUCGAUGAAGAACGCUGCGAACUGCGAUACGUAAUGCGAAUUGCAGGAUUCAGUGAGUCAUCGAAAUUUUGAACGCAUAUUGCACUUCCGGGUUAGUCCUGGAAGUAUGCCUGUAUCAGUGUCC
rnacentral:rRNA from 1 species